AUCCUCAAAUUCGCACGCGUGCCCUAAUUGCAGCGGUGAAACGAUCUCCUUCUCUACAGCGACCGCGACUGCGGCGUUUUCCUUUGCGAAAGGCGGCAGCAACGGUGGCAUCUUCCUCCGUCGAGCUCUUAUCGCUGCGGCUUUUUCCUCGGCGAACGAUGGAUGCUGCGGUUUCCUCUCCGUCGGCGAACGGUGACAGCGCUCGGUAUCUCUCUCUUACACAUCCGCCUCCUCCUCUUCCUCCUUCGCCGUCGCACAAUCCCUUCCCCUCCCUCCUCUACACCCCUCUUCGCCCUCUCUAUACAUCUUCCCCUCCCCUUUCCUACUCCCCUUUCCUACCUCACGGCUCAAUUCCUAUGAUAUAAAAGAUCGUGCUGACCGAGUCAGAACUCUGUGUCUCUGGAAGCCUCGGCUCGGCGGAACCCUUCCGCUCGCUCGCUUUGAAGAUUGCGCCUUUAUCGCGCAAUCCUCGGCACGGCGGUAUCCGCAUCUGGUCUUCCUUGCCCGUUGAGUGCGUUGGCCUUUGAUUUGAUGACAACUUGAGCUAGGGUUUUCGUUGUUUUCCAUCUGAUCAAAAUCGCUCAAUUAGGGAAGAAAUUUCAAAAUCGAAGAUAAGAGGGAAGGAGAGAUGCAUACACUGCUCUGAGCCUGUUUCCGUGUAAGCCCACCGCUCCAAUGAACUGUUGGUUUAAGAGCUUUGCUUCAUAGCGAUACAAACACCGACCAAAAUACAGAUGCAUACACUGCUACUAGCUGGACCUUUCAUAUAAUUUUAUGAUAAAAGAAGCCCUCCAACAAGUCAAACUGA